rnacentral:rRNA from 1 species
AGUGAACGCUGGCGGUAGGCCUAACACAUGCCAGUCGAACGGCAGCACAGUAAGAGCUUGCUCUUACGGGUGGCGAGUGGCGGACGGGUGAGGAAUACAUCGGAAUCUACUUUUUCGUGGGGGAUAACGUAGGGAAACUUACGCUAAUACCGCAUACGACCUACGGGUGAAAGCAGGGGAUCUUCGGACCUUGCGCGAUUGAAUGAGCCGAUGUCGGAUUAGCUAGUUGGCGGGGUAAAGGCCCACCAGGGCGACGAUCCGUAGCUGGUCUGAGAGGAUGAUCAGCCACACUGGAACUGAGACACGGUCCAGACUCCUACGGGAGGCAGCAGUGGGGAAUAUUGGACAAUGGGCGCAAGCCUGAUCCAGCCAUACCGCGUGGGUGAAGAAGGCCUUCGGGUUGUAAAGCCCUUUUGUUGGGAAAGAAAAGCAGCAGGUUAAUACCCCGCUGUUCUGACGGUACCCAAAGAAUAAGCACCGGCUAACUUCGUG